rnacentral:rRNA from 1 species
GCUGAUCAGCUAGCUCGCACAUCUGGUUAAUUACCACGACAUACCUGAACCCGCAUAACAAACUACACCCCAUCAAACCAUUUUUCCAC